AUUGAACGCUGGCGGCAUGCUUUACACAUGCAAGUCGAACGGCAGCGCGGGGGCAACCUGGCGGCGAGUGGCGAACGGGUGAGUGAUAUAUCGGAACGUACCCAGGGAGUGGGGGAUAACGUAGCGAAAGUUACGCUAAUACCGCAUACGAUCUAUGGAUGAAAGCAGGGGAUCGCAAGACCUUGUGCUCAUGGAGCGGCCGAUAUCUGAUUAGCAGUUGGUAGGGUAAAGGCCUACCAAGGCGACGAUCAGUAGCUGGUCUGAGAGGACGACCAGCCACACUGGGACUGAGACACGGCCCAGACUCCUACGGGAGGCAGCAGUGGGGAAUUUUGGACAAUGGGCGCAAGCCUGAUCCAGCAAUGCCGCGUGAGUGAAGAAGGCCUGG
rnacentral:rRNA from 1 species